GUGUCAGCAGCCGCGGUAAGACGAACCGUGCGAACGUUGUUCGGAAUCACUGGGCUUAAAGGGCGCGUAGGCGGGCAGGCGAGUCCGGGGUGAAAUCUUUCGGCUCAACCGGAAAAGGGCCUCGGAGACCGGCUGCCUCGAGGAAGGUAGGGGCAUGCGGAACUUCCGGUGGAGCGGUGAAAUGCGUUGAUAUCGGAAGGAACGCCGGUGGCGAAAGCGGCGUGCUGGACCUUUACUGACGCUGAGGCGCGAAAGCCAGGGGAGCGAACGGGAUUAGAUACCCCGGUAGUCC
rnacentral:rRNA from 1 species